GCCAAAAUUGCUGGUUCCCCAAUCCUUAGUGCUCUCCUUACUUACUUAUUAUUCCUUCAGAUUAUCUAUGUUCUCUUUCUUCUGUUGUUCAAUGUCAUUCACCUCUUCUUCAGCUAGUGAUAAAAGGAAUUUGAUAUAGGAACCUCUUACUGGCCUUUCUCUUUAAUUUCUCCCAUAAUAUGCCCAUACUUCUCUUUUGUAUUUAUUUCUUCUUGUCUACCACUGUUGUUUGUAAUCAAUUCUCCUCAUUUGAGUAUUAUUAACAAUUCUCUCUUCUUUCUACUUGUCUACUUCACUUUGUUGAUUUAAAUCUUUUCUACCCUCCUCCAUCUUUUCUUCAUGUAGCUUAGAAUGGAUAUUCCAGCAUGUACUUUUAUUAUGCCCUUGUAAAUAAUAUUCCUUGCAAUACUUAGGCAUAUAGUAAUAUUGAAUUUGAAUUCACUUUGAAUUUUAUUCUACCUGUCACAUUAUCUUCUUCAUUUAUUCUCAACCUUCGUGGCAACUUAGAUACCAAGUCUACCUCAACUUUAACCCUUGCACAAUUUGGUAUUGUUUGAAUCUUUGUUCCUAUAUCAAUUGUUAAUGGUUUUCCUAUUGCUGAGGCUAUUGAAAAUACUGCCUCCUUAGCAAAGAAAUUUGGUGGAAGAUCAGGCAUUGAUAUCCGUACAACCCCUACUUUUGUUCCAGAUUAGGUUCGAACCAAGGAUCCCACUUUAGAGUACGCAUCUUUCAAAACCUAUCAUUGGCUUUUAUGUAGUAUGUAGCAGUUGACAAUAGAUUAACAUAAUCCUCUAAUACUUCUAAUCUAAUGAGAAUGUGUCUCGAAUCCAAUACACCAAUAUUACAUUCACC
rnacentral:lncRNA from 1 species